GAUGAAGAACGUAGCGAAAUGCGAUACUUGGUGUGAAUUGCAGAAUCCCGUGAACCAUCGAGUCUUUGAACGCAAGUUGCGCCCGAAGCCAUUAGGCCGAGGGCACGCCUGCCUGGGCGUCACACGUCGUUGCCCCCCAUCUACUCCUUCGGGAUUGCGGGGGGCGGAUGAUGGCCUCCCGUGCGCCUCGUCGCGCGGUUGGCAUAAAUGCCAAGUCCUCGGCGACGCACGCCACGACAAUCGGUGGUUGCGAAACCUCGGUUGCCCGUCGUGUGCGGUCGUCGCGCAUCGAGGGCUCGAAAAAAUUGCCGGGCUCCGGCUCGGCUUUCAACGCGACCCCAGGUCAGGCGGGGUUACCCGCUGAAUUUAAGCAUAUCAAAAGCGGAGGA
rnacentral:misc_RNA from 1 species